rnacentral:misc_RNA from 1 species
UUUCCGUAGGUGAACCUGCGGAAGGAUCAUCAGUGAUAAAACAUUGAAGGUUAUACAACCACCCUAUGUGAACUUUAUAAUUGUAGCGGGGGGGUCUUUCGGGGGCCUUCCGCUACAUUUAUUUUUUUUUAUAUUAAACAACUUUUUCAUCACCUGUAAACUAUACCAACCAAAAACAAAAAAGACACAACUUUUAACAACGGAUCUCUUGGCUCUCGUAUCGAUGAAGAACGCAGC